UCUGUCAUUACAUCAAAAUGAAGAUUACAAGUUAAAACAUAAAUGAAAUUACAAAAAUCCUAUCUAUGCAGCUUUCCUUGACUCCUGACUUGAGUUUUGUCACCCUAUUUUUUAUGUGGGCUCAUGACUUGCAAUUUCUUUCAACUUGUUGCUUGGUUUUCCAUUGCUUCACUUCGUUACAUUGGCUCUUAUUUAUUCCGCCUGCUCUUCAGGCAGGCUUCGGGAUUUUCAUUUUUUUCUUUCAAUUUCAUCACCCUGUUCUUCAGGCGAGUUCCUGACUUGCAAUUUCUUCAAUUUCCCAUUUCAUCAACCAAUUCUUUAGGCAAGUUCCUGAAAUCCAAAUAAAA
rnacentral:lncRNA from 1 species